GACAGAGGGGGCAAGCGUUGCUCGGAAUUACUGGGCGUAAAGGGCGCGUAGGCGGGAUGGCAAGUCGGUCGUGAAAUCCCUCGGCUCAACCGAGGAACGUCGAUCGAUACUGCUGUUCUUGAGGAUUGCAGAGGAGACUGGAAUUCCCGGUGUAGCGGUGAAAUGCGUAGAUAUCUGGAGGAACACCGGUGGCGAAGGCGGCAUCCUGGACCGGUAUUGACGCUGAGGCGCGAAAGCUAGGGGAGCAAACGGG
rnacentral:rRNA from 1 species